CUGACCCUCCCCCGUUCACACUCUGUCUCUCCCUAUCUCAAAAAUAAAUAAAAAACGUUAAAAAAAAAAAUUAAAAAAAAAAACCUUGUCCUUUGAAACGUGGAAGUUUAGUGAAGUCCAACUUACUGAGGUUUUUUUUGUUUCAUGCUUUUUGUGUGCCUAACCCAAGAUCACAAAGUUCUUCUAAUCAAGAGACACGGAGUACCUUCCCAUUUACUUACCUCUUCCUUAAUUUUUCUAAUCUUGACACUAUUUUUUUAACUUUAACGUUUGCUUAUUAUUUUCAGACAGAGCACGAGCGUGAGCAGAGAGAGACAGAGAAGCCCAAGCAGGAUACUUGCUCAUCACACAGCCUGAUGUGGGGCUUGAACUCACAACCUUGAGAUCACGACCAGAGCCGAAAGCAAGAGUUGGACACUUAACCGACUGAGCCACCCAGGUGGUCAUUAGCAGGUAGAAGGAUCCUGUAUCUCUCUUACCGAUCUUGUGUCCGGGACCGUCAAACUCACCGGCCAGGUGUGUGCGUGUGUCCAGAUUCUGUAGGACCCUAUCAGCCGUGACUAAGAACGUGUUCGCUUGUUCUCUCCAGUCUGUGUCCUACCCCUUUUCUGUUCCUUUCUGUGCCUCACCGCACGCCCAGUACGAUGUUGAGUACGGAGGCGAGAGCACACCUCCCUCACCUGCUCCUGGUGUUGGAGGUGAGCAUUCGGCCCGUCACCAUGACUUCUGAUGCUCUGACAGGCGGAAUGAUGCUCUCGAAGAUACCCUGUCCUUCCGCCGGAAUCCGGACUGUGUCGGGUUACACGGGCAAAGGGAGUGGAGGUGCUGAUCAGCCUGGAUAGUGAGACUAACCUGGGUUUUCCAGAUGGACCCAGUGUCACCGCAGGGGUCCUUGACGGUGGAAGCGGGGGAUCAGGAAGGGCGGGCGUAGGCAGUGAGAGGACCCCAACCACGGGUGGGGAGUAGACAGGGAGGAGGCCAGGAGCCGAGGAACGUGGGCGCCUCCGGCAGUAGGACGCCUCUGGGAGGACGCAGCCCCGCAGACACUGUGGUCCGGCGUGGCCCGGGUCCGACUCAAGGCUGCCGGCACGAGGUCCACGAGGAAACUUCGCACGGGUGUCUUUUAUCCUGAGGCCAAGGAAGCUGCCUUCCCGCGGUUGGACACUUCCCACCACGAACGUGCCGGGUUUCGUUCCUUGUUUCGCUGCGCCCGUUGAGUUGAUCCCGUGGAUUUUGUCCUUCGUUCCCCUAGGAUGGGCCGCGACGUCUGUUGGUUUUCAGAUGUGCAGCUGAUGGUGCAAGUGCUGUCGUAUUUGGGUUGCUGAUGCUGUGUUACAAAGUUAACACCUAGGUUCACCAGGGACACCGACGUCUAGUCUUCUGUCAGGCCCAGGCUUGCGUCGCAAAGGAGCUGGGAAGCGUCCCUCUGUCUUCUGAAAGACUUUGUGAGUGAUGGGUGUUAUUGACCGAAGGCUCCGUGAAGUCACCAGGCUCUUCCUUUGUGUGAACUUUAGACUUUCUGUGUUAAUUCAGUUUCUUAUUACAGGUCUGUGGUGUUUUUCUGGUUUUUUCUCAGUCCAUUUAAAUGAUUUGUGUCCGUAGGAA